rnacentral:tRNA from 1 species
GAAGAUAUGGCUCAGAGGCUAAGAGCACUGGCUGCUCUUCUAAAGGCCCUGGGUUCAAUUCCCAGUACCCACA